GCAUUACAGAUUGUCCGCAAAUAUGACAUCCAGGCCACAGACAAUGAGCCUGUUGAGAUGCUACACUCAGGCACCCUGGUGCCCAGCCGGGAGCUCCCCAUCGCGUUUUGCCAGCGAUAAGAUGCCUCAGACCAAAACAGCCAUUUCAACUUUUCUGCAAGAAUGGUGCUUACGGCUUCUACGUUACCGGAAAGCAAACUUCAACCACCACACCAUACCACAGCUUAUAAAGAAUAUUUAGGCCCAGGUGUUGAUACUUUUUCUUCUGCAAAAUUGUUCCAGAAGAUGUACUGUCUUUCUAGACGGUGGUAUUUGCUAACAUCAUAUCCAACUCAGGGAGCGGACUGAGUGCUGGGAUCCAAGGCAUUCUACAGGGUUCACUGCUGGUUUACACUUCACCUGUAUCAGCACCGUCUUCAGGUGCUUAGAAUGGCCUGGGAGCCUGUUCUGUCUUGCAUCUUCCAUGACAUGAAAGGGAGGCUGGCACUUGUCAAUCAGGUAGAGGUUACGAACCAUUUCAGCCCCUGCCUACCACAUUCACUGUUUGAAUCUUUAAUUCCCAAGAAUAAGUUUACAUUUCACAAUGAAAGACCUACAACAGCUAAAUUUUCUGGGGCUGGAAGUAAUACUGACAAUCCAUUUACUGUAGCUUUGCUUAAUGUACUACUUGGGAAACUGUCCCUGCUUAAUAAU
rnacentral:sRNA from 1 species